GAAAUUCUCAUCUCUAGGAGGGGACUGGUCAGCCCUGAUCAUCAAAACUAAAUCGAGGGAUCAGGGAGGGGACAGGCCAGGAGAUGUUCCUACUGGGGCACAGCUGGAGACUCUAUUUCAAAGACAGGCAGGGUUUGCCCCUCCUCUCCUUAAAUCCGCAUCUAAUCCUGGAGCCCGAGAACUGUCCUGUGGAUUCCCCUGGCAGCUUCAAGGUAAAAGAGGGCUAUAUUUCCAUUAUUUUUGCUCCAGUGACUUUCAAUAUUCAGGAGACAGGGUACAUUAAUUUGAAAGCUGUGCUGGUCAAGAGCACAGGCGGGUUCUGCCACACCUUAAUAAAAAGAACAACAACAUAGAUGCUUCUCAUCCGAGAAGGUGGCUGAAGGGACAGUGUCAAUACUGGUGUCUUCUGCCCAUUCCUUCGUUCCACAGGUGAAAUCCUGGGCAGGGGAGUAGGAGCAGACAGUCAUUGUUUCUAAAAAUUUUAGGGUAAAAUUUAUCAGCAACCAAUGCAAAAGGAAAGAGUCAUCAGGCAUGAGCCCGUUCUAGUCCUCUCACCCAGCGGCAAAAUGACUAAGAGAUGGCUUCCAAGGAAUAAGUGUAAAAGGUUUUGCAAAACUGAAGUUUCAUUUGCCACAUAAGGCUAUUUAAAAAUCUUGAAGCACCCCAAGCAUUCCGAGAUCAGAGCCUCCCUCUCCUAAUUACAUCCAGCAUGAAAAGGCACAAACAGCCUACUCUUAAAUUAUAAUCCGUCACCCUAUGUCUUGUGUUGGACUGCAGUUGGGUGGGUGACAUCACAAAGUGUUGUUGCUAUUAGACAUUGUUCAUAAUCACACAAAAUCUGCAUAUUGUGAUGCCAAUAGUUUGGGAGUUUCACUUUGUUGUUGUUUAUUUCGUGAUUGCUUCCCAACCCUCAGACAUACCCAGGAGACUUAGAAAGACUCUGAAACCCAGGCCUUCUGCCUAACAUGCAGUAUCAGAAACAGCCCUACCUACUGUGAACUAUAAAAAGAUUAUUCAAUUAAAUUAAUCUGACCUUGGAGAUACUCAUACCUAAAAUGAUUAUAACCCUGAAGACAUUGCUGUUUGCCUGACACAUUUUUCAUAGGCUUUUAAAAAUUCAGUUGUUUGGGGGCUAGAGAUAAAGCUCAGUUGGUAGAGUGCUUUCCUCACAUGCAGAAGGCCCUGGGUUCAAGCCCCAGCACCACAAGAAAAAAAAGAAAAAGAAAUUUUAGUUGUUUGGAUCAAGAAAUUAAUAGUUGGUUUUGAAUAGUUUGGCCACAUCAGCAUACACAUAGCUACCAGAUGUAGAAUUCCAGGUUGGGUUGAUGUGCCAGAGUUCACAGUUCUGUUAUGUGGGAUUGCACUUAAUCACCUCCACCCCUCUCAAAUUCUGUGAAAAUAUAUUAAAACACUUUAUGCUAAAAAAAAAAAAAAAACUAAAACAGUAAACUCUUAUUCGAUCAUUAUUUCACUUGGGGUGGGGAAACUCAUUUGGAAAAUAACUUUGAAGAAAACUUUGCUUGCUAUUAAGUGCCUCCAACCACAGAGCUUGCUCCUGUCCCACAAACUGAGAAUUCUCUUCUGCCAUCUGCUCAGAGCUUAGCCCAUCCUCUAAAAUAGCACAGAUGCCACAGAAACACCUUUUAAGCUCAAACACAAUUGCAAAAAUAAGAUUUAGAAUUUUAACACUGCCACGGUCCUUGAUUCUAGGAUCCCUGAAUCAGUUCUAGUUCUUUUGUAUCUAUUUUCAGUGUUUUUUAAAACCACAAUUGACUACAUUUUGUCUGCAUUGGGAGCUGCUUAUGAAUCCAAGCUGGCAGCUUUUGGCAAUUCCUGUGUCUAGAUUCUAGAUAAUGCAUGUUUCCCCACAUACCAGCUAAGGGGUUUUCAUGGGCACAUUGAAGAGGCCCCUAGAUACAGGUAGAUACUGAGGGAAAUGUGAGACAGGGAGGUUGUCCAUGUUUCAGCCAUGUUUUAGUGCUGGUACUUUUGUCUUUCUCAUUUUCUCUCUCUCUCUCUCUUCUUUCCCCCCCGCCCUUGGAAUAGAACCUAGGGUCCUGCACAAGCUAGGCAAGUUAGGCAAGUGCUCUCUACCACUGAGCUACAGCCUUAGCCCUUCCUUUUCCUUCUUAUCCCUCGCCCACCUCUGAUAACCAGCAAGCAGAAGCUAUAACCUCUGCAGUAGGUGUUGGUCCCCACUGGGGACAGGAGGGAAUUCCAUUUGCUUAAACUCACACCAGGCAACCAACCGUAAGGCACUCUCUCUACUCUGUAUAGUUUAUCCUCCACCAAUAGGGAAAUACUGUCCUUACAAGGCCAUGUUUGAGGAGACUGAGGUUUGGCUAGUAAAAGAGGCUUGCAUUGCAAAGAGCUGAAUAAUAGCAGACUCUUGACUCUGCACUGUGAGCCUCAGUCAUGAUUGGGCAGAAGUAACUGAUCUCCUAAAAAACCAAGCCAGCAAAAAUGUUUAGAAACUAAUUCCACUGAAACUCUCAUAUCACUAAAUCACACUACUGUAGUUCCAGUUAAUCCAACUAUUUAAUAUCAUUAGGCACUAAAUUAAAUAGCUUUAUACAAAAUUUUAGAAAAGAUCAAUAUUGUAACAAAAUUACAUAUUAGCAGUAAAAAGCACCUGAGAAAAGAAAAUAUUGAUCUGUUGUGGUUUAUAUACUUGAGUUAUUCUUAGGACUUUGUAGGGAUUGGCACUGCUCUGAUAAGGGCAAUAAAAUGGUCCGAAUUUGAGAACGCUGGACUAACGGAAAUUGCCCAGUCUCCCUGGGCCUCCACUUGUCUGGGAUGCUCUGUCCCUGCUCAGCAGACCAGGUUAUUUGGAGACUAAAUGGAGCUGACGAGAGAAGCUAUCCCACUCCACCAAUGCAUGCAGAAUUAUCAUGGCAAGCUGGAUUAUGGGCUUUAUUUAAUGACAUCUUUCCUAACAUGAGGUUUUUCUCCUCAAAGCUUGUAUUUCUGGGAUUUAGAAAGGAAAAAGAAAUAAUGAUGCGAAAGUAACAAUCACCAUUUUACAUACACACAUAUGCUUUUUCCAGUAUUUGGGAGCCAGUCUGUAGAGCCCAUUCCAAGGUGUCCCUUCAUCUCCACCUCUCCACCUCCCAAAGGCUCAGAGCACCAGGACCCAGGGAGAGUCCCCCAUGAGAGUAUGAAGUUGACUAGCUGAGGGCCAUGGGAUGGAGAGACAGACACCAAGCUUCCUCCAGGAGGAGAAACUGCGUAUUGUGAAUUAGUAUUCAUUUGAGGAGAGCAAGAGGAAGGAAAAAAAAAACACAAUGUGAAUUAAAUAUAAGACCAAUGCAUUCCUUACAGAAUAUGAGGAGGGAAUCUGACUAAAAAAAAAAAAAAAGAAAACCUGGUUCAUUCUUUUCAAACUAACCUGGCUAAAAAGCACAUUUCAUAACACAGAAGCCUGUGUAGAUGGUAGACAUUUUUAUAGCUUCCUUAAGUGAGCAGUUAAAUGAGAAGUCUGAGUUCUGUUGGUCUCCCAAGAGUGGUUAAUGAAAUAAGCAUUUCCCUUAUUCAUUGCCCGCACUGUAGUGCUUUUCUCUCUCUAUGCACCCUAGGAAGACUCCCACACCCAGACUUAGGAGGACACAACCAAGUUAUCGGCCAAACAAGAGUGCCUUCUCUGUUGGAUGUUCACAUUCAUUCCCUGGAUUCCCAGGGCCUAAGAUGUUUAGAAUCUUUUUUUCUCUAAACAUAAGAAUUAUUGUGCACCACAAUUUUGAACCACUGAUUUCUGUAUCUUAAGCAGCUAUCAACUUGCCAAUUCCCUUUGGGUCUUCUUUCUAUUUUCUUAUAAUAUUUCCUUCUGUUUUGGGUUUUCCUCAAGAAGAACUGGGGGCAUGAUUCUUUUUAAAUUGAUAAAAAUGAAACUGUACAGAUUUUUGCCCCCUUGUAUCCGUGAGCAUGAUCUCUAUCAGGCUUGAAAAUCUGCUUUAUCAUUUUGUAUAUUUGACUAUUUUGUAUUCAGCAUUACUUGACUCCUUAUA
rnacentral:lncRNA from 1 species